AUAUAAGCCUCAGGGCGAGGGUGUGCGGUCUCUUUGUUGGAUUCUCUCGCCGACUUAAGAUCUGGGUGCAGUUUAUUGUGGGCUCCUUGGUGUGGCGUUUGCGGCGGCGCUUGUGGAUGGAGAGUGACCUCGUGGCGUCCUUCUGAAGGUCCGAGGACCCCACAUUCCGAGUUCUCUCACAACCCGAAUCACCCACAACCCGAAUUACCCACAACCCGAAUUCUCUUCAACCCGGCUUACAUUAAACUGCUCCUGGAAGCGGGGCAACCGACGGCGAGACGACUGUUAAGUUUUUUUUAGUUAGCCAAUUCUCGAGCCACUUGUUCAGGAAUUAGGCAAAUUAUGUACUUUAUUUAUUUUAUUCUCCCCGGAGUAACUUUAGAUUAUAUUCAAAAUAAAUUGUUAAACUUGU